GCUUGCUUUUGAUGGGCGUCGACCGGCGCACGGGUGAGUAACGCGUAUCCAACCUGCCCACCACUUGGGGAUAACCUUGCGAAAGUAAGACUAAUACCCAAUGAUAUCUCUAGAAGACAUCUGAAGGAGAUUAAAGAUUUAUCGGUGAUGGAUGGGGAUGCGUCUGAUUAGCUUGUUGGCGGGGUAACGGCCCACCAAGGCGACGAUCAGUAGGGGUUCUGAGAGGAAGGUCCCCCACAUUGGAACUGAGACACGGUCCAAACUCCUACGGGAGGCAGCAGUGAGGAAUAUUGGUCAAUGGACGAGAGUCUGAACCAGCCAAGUAGCGUGCAGGAUGACGGCCCUAUGGGUUGUAAACUGCUUUUAUAAGGGAAUAAAGUGAGUCUCGUGAGACUUUUUGCAUGUACCUUAUGAAUAAGGACCGGCUAAUUCCGUGCCAGCAGCCGCGGUAAUACGGAAGGUCCGGGCGUUAUCCGGAUUUAUUGGGUUUAAAGGGAGCGUAGGCCGGAGAUUAAGCGUGUUGUGAAAUGUAGACGCUCAACGUCUGCACUGCAGCGCGAACUGGUUUCCUUGAGUACGCACAAAGUGGGCGGAAUUCGUGGUGUAGCGGUGAAAUGCUUAGAUAUCACGAAGAACUCCGAUUGCGAAGGCAGCUCACUGGAGCGCAACUGACGCUGAAGCUCGAAAGUGCGGGUAUCGAACAGGAUUAGAUACCCUGGUAGUCCGCACGGUAAACGAUGGAUGCCCGCUGUUGGUCUGAAUAGGUCAGCGGCCAAGCGAAAGCAUUAAGCAUCCCACCUGGGGAGUACGCCGGC
rnacentral:rRNA from 1 species